UACGUAGGGGGCAAGCGUUAUCCGGAUUUACUGGGUGUAAAGGGAGCGUAGACGGCGUGCCAAGUCUGGAGUGAAAGCCCGGGGCUUAACCCCGGGACUGCUUUGGAAACUGGCGUGCUAGAGUGCUGGAGAGGUAAGUGGAAUUCCUAGUGUAGCGGUGAAAUGCGUAGAUAUUAGGAGGAACACCAGUGGCGAAGGCGGCUUACUGGACAGUAACUGACGUUGAGGCUCGAAAGCGUGGGGAGCAAACAGG
rnacentral:rRNA from 1 species